rnacentral:rRNA from 1 species
UACGUAGGGCGCAAGCGUUGUCCGGAAUUAUUGGGCGUAAAGAGCUCGUAGGCGGUUUGUCGCGUCUGCUGUGAAAACCCGAGGCUCAACCUCGGGCCUGCAGUGGGUACGGGCAGACUAGAGUGCGGUAGGGGAGAUUGGAAUUCCUGGUAUAGCGGUGGAAUGCGCAGAUAUCAGGAGGAACACCGAUGGCGAAGGCAGAUCUCUGGGCCGUAACUGACGCUGAGGAGCGAAAGCGUGGGGAGCGAACAGG